rnacentral:lncRNA from 1 species
CUCAUUAUUCGUAGAUGAUGGUGUAUAUAUAUAUAUAGAACUAGGCUGGAAUACUAUCAAUAGCACUAAGUUAUUGGUGCUAUUAGUUUUUUAACCAUUGGAUUAAGAAAUGCGCGGUUAUGAUGAUAUAGGCUCCCCUAGGAUUGAAUGGGUAGUUGGUUGAAUAGUAUAAUCUAACGGGUAAAAAUAAUCAUAGUAGUUAAUCUAACGGUAGAAAACUUACUAGCACCAAGUAUUUGGUGCUAUCAUAGCAUAGCAGCCGGACUCAUAUAUAUAUAUAUAUAUAUAUAUAUAUAUAUAUAUAAUUAUGCUGGAAUACUAUUAAUAGUAAAACGCUCUUUUUGCAAUCAAGUUUUUAACCCUUGGAUGAAAAAUUGUAGGGUCGGGAUGAUAUUAAUCGGUUAGAGUUGAGUGGUCCCCCUAGAGUUGAGUGGUCCCCACUCGGUUAUAGUAUUUAAUCCAAUUGUUAAAAAUAAUGAAAAGAGUUGAUCCAAAGAUUAAAAAACUGGUAGCAAUAAUAAAAUUUUGCUACUAAUAAUAGCCCAGUCCAACUCUAUAUAUAUAUA